GUUUCUGUAGUUGAAUACAACGGUGGCUUUUCAGGUCGCAGGUCUCGGUUAAAUUCCGGGUAGAAUCA
rnacentral:tRNA from 1 species